UACGUAGGGGGCAAGCGUUGUCCGGAUUUAUUGGGCGUAAAGAGCGUGUAGGCGGCCUGACAGGUCUGCUGUGAAAACUCGAGGCUCAACCUCGAGAUGUCGGCGGAAACCGUCUGGCUAGAGUCCGGAAGAGGAGAGUGGAAUUCCUGGUGUAGCGGUGAAAUGCGUAGAUAUCGGGAGGAACACCUGUGGCGAAAGCGGCGCACUGGACCACAACUGACGCUGAGGCGCGAAAGCUAGGGGAGCAAACAGG
rnacentral:rRNA from 1 species